rnacentral:rRNA from 1 species
GAUGAACGCUAGCGGCAGGCUUAAUACAUGCAAGUCGAGGGGUGGUAGCAAUACUACACCGGCGCACGGGUGCGUAACGCGUAUGCAAUCUACCUUUAUCUGGGGGAUAGCCCGGGGAAACCCGGAUUAAUACCGCAUAACAAAUUGAUUGGCAUCAAUUGAUUUUAAAAGAUUUAUCGGAUAGAGAUGAGCAUGCGUAAGAUUAGAUAGUUGGCGGGGUAACGGCUCACCAAGUCUACGAUCUUUAGGGGCUCUGAGAGGAGAAUCCCCCACACUGGCACUGAGAUACGGGCCGGACUCCUACGGGAGGCAGCAGUAGGGAAUAUUGGGCAAUGGGCGCAAGCCUGACCCAGCCAUGCCGCGUGCAGGAAGAAGGCGUUAUGCGUUGUAAACUGCUUUUAUACAGGAAGAAACGACCCUUGCGAGGGGCAUUGACGGUACUGUAUGAAUAAGCACCGGCUAACUCCGUGCCAGCCGCCGCGGUAAUAC